rnacentral:rRNA from 1 species
UGAGUAACGCGUGAGAAUCUGCCUCUAGGUCGGGGACAACAACUGGAAACGGUUGCUAAUACCCGAUGUGCAGCAAUGUGAAAGAUUUAUUGCCUAGAGAUGAGCUCGCGUCUGAUUAGCUAGUAGGUGUGGUAAUGGCGCACCUAGGCGACGAUCAGUAACUGGUCUGAGAGGAUGACCAGUCACACUGGGACUGAGACACGGCCCAGACUCCUACGGGAGGCAGCAGUGGGGAAUUUUCCGCAAUGGGCGAAAGCCUGACGGAGCAAUACCGCGUGAGGGACGAAGGCUUUUGGGUCGUAAACCUCUUUUCCCUGAGAAGAAGAUCUGACGGUAUCAGGGGAAUAAGCAUCGGCUAACUUCGUGCCAGCAGCCGCGGUAAUACGAGGGAUGCAAGCGUUAUCCGGAAUUAUUGGGCGUAAAGCGUCCGCAGGUGGCUCUGUAAGUCUGUCGUUAAAGAAUGGGGCUCAACCCCAUACAGGCGAUGGAAACUACAAGGCUAGAGUUUGGUA